rnacentral:lncRNA from 1 species
UCUGAGUCAUCCAGUGUGGGCUGGAGGUUUGGAACCUGGAAAUGUCUGAUCUAGGCAAGUAAUAAGCUGACGUCAAAAGACUUGGUGCACAGGUCUAUUGAAGCACCUAAGAGGAAAGACACUUCUUCAAACCUCAAAUGCUCUUUACAUCCAGCAAAUCUGGACUGGAAGUCGUUCAAUAAGAUGACUUCCCAUGAAAUGUCUGGUACUUCAUGUUUCCCGUCAGGUCAUAAAUGCCACGAGAACAGCUUUUCCUCCUCCAUUUAAAUUUGUCCAGUGCCAGUUUUGGUCUUGUCCCAAAGCCAAAAACUUUGGAGACAUUGACAGAAAAGAAAGUAAUUAACCAUAUUGGAAGAGCCCAGAGAGUUCUGUGUAGAUUCUGCUGUAGAUGCUGAAUCUGGCUCUGUCACCCAGACUGCAGUGCAGUGGCACAAUCUCAGCUCACUGCAACCUCUGCCUCCCAGGUUCAAGCGAUUCUCCUGCCUCAGCCUCCCGAGUAGCUGGAGUUACAGGCAUAAACCACCAUGCCUGGCUAAUUUUUGUAUUUUUAGUAGAGAUGGGGUUUCACCACUUUUGGCCAGGCUGGUCUUGAAGUCCUGACCUCAGGUGAUUCGCCUGCCUAGGCCUCCCAAAGUGAGGGGGUUAUAGGCGGGAUCCACCAUGCCCAGCCUAAACUAUGCUUUUGAUUGUUAUUUUAGAGUGUACUUUGUCUACUUAUUGAAAAAAGAAAAAAAAGUGAACUGUAAAACAGCCUCAAGCAGGUCCUUCAGGAGGUAUCCAGAAGAAGGCAUUGUCAUAGGAGAUGACAGCUCCAUGCGUGUUAUUGCUCCUGAAGACCUUCCAGGAGUAGGUGCAGAGGAAUCCAAGGUGUAGGGAAUGAAAGAGCCACAAGAUGUAAGAAACCUCAGUUCCUCAAUGUAGACAUGGAAGAAAGCUUCCGGGAGCAGGCUCACUGGAUUUGGUCACAUAAUGAUCACAGAAUAAACUCUUGUGGUAAGCCUCUGAAUUUGGGAUGUUUUGUUAAAACAACUAGAUGACCCUAACAGUUUUCACCAAGGUCAGUAAUCGACUGAUUUAAGUGUUUCAAAAAAUCUUUAAACAAAUUCAAUUGUUGCUUUUAAUUUUAUAGAUAAGGAAAUCAAAGUCUUGGAAACUCAAUUACUUUCUCAGAUAAAUGCAAACAGCUGGUAGCAGAGCCAAAGACAGAUACCUGGGCUCGUGUCUUCUAUUCCAGCUCACUUUCUUCUUUGUUGAUGAUAAAUUUUAAAGGACAAACUUGCUGUGAAUAUUUAUUUAUGCCAUGCUUUUGGAAGUACUGUUAGGCAGAGAACUACAAAAACAUUUCAUUCUUAAAAAUCCUAAUAGAACUAAGCUGGUCAAUAUAUAUUUUUUCAUGAUGUUAUAUUGAGUGUUAAUGUUAAUUACGUUAGUCACAAAUUAACCCUUUUCUUUUAAAUGUAACUUUAAAGGUUUAUGAAAUUCUAAUCCUUUGUUAGACAUAUUUAAUUGUUAGGCAUAUUUAAUUUUAAAUGGAAAUCAGAAGAGAGAUUGUUUCACUUGCCAGCAAUUUUCUUUAUAGCAAACUUUCUUAGAAUAUAUUUAGUAAAUUCUCCUGAACGAAAAAAAUGUUAGUUAUGAAUGCUAUAGUUUAAUAUUGAAUAGAAUUUUUGGAGAAUGUCAGGAAAUUUCUAUGAACUCCAUCACCAAAGACCAUGCUUCUUUAAAGAAAGGAAUUAGAUCAAGGAAGAAGGAAAAAAAGCAUAAGAAAAAGAAUGUGAAAACGGUGAAAACAGUCUUGUCCUUCUGGACUUUUGCUAGAAAUUGUGAUCAAAUAAUAAGUUUGUAGAAAGAGGAUGUAAUAAUAUAUGCUAGUACAUGUAUAGAAAAAAUAUUUUGCUUGGGAAAUGGUGAUAUGCAGUGAAUAUUGAGAGUGGUUCUCUUUUUGGAGGAAGGAUUAGGAGGUUUUCAUCUUCUAUAUUAAGUAUUUCUAUAAGAACAGAACCUUGAAAGUUCAUAAUUGCUUCUAUAAACACACAAAAUUUAAUUUAGGCAUACAGACCUGAACUAUACCACACAUCAUGUCAGUUCUGCAAGGUGUUGAAAGAAUUCUGAAACUCUCUUUCAUCCCAUAGCCAAGGAAACGAUAAGGCAAAGUUUUAAGGUAUAAAUGUGUCCAUGGGAGAGAAUUUAAAAAGUAGUCACAUAUGGAAGCUUCUGGAAAAACGAAACAAAAAAACAUUUUUUAGGAUCUCAUUUGUGAUACAGGCAUAUCGUCAUCCCUUUUAUUCAAAUCUUUUCUGGCUAUUCAGACUUCCUCAUAACUAUUUUUACAGUGAACACUGGUUUCACUACAGUUUUGGAGUGUGGGUGGAAACGGAGACAGAAAGGAGGAGCAUUAAUAGUGAGAAAAAUUAUUCCCCAAAGCAGGGUAUCGUCUGUAGAAGAAUUUCAGGAGCGUCUCUCUAAGGCACUCCUAUUCUUAAUUUUGGUUGAAACCGUGCACACCUUUUGUUGUACUGGGUCUAGUAAUACACACCUUCUUCCUUUCCAACCAGCCAUAUGAACUUAUCUACAUUACAAGCUUCUGCCAGAGGCCAGGAAAAAGAUGUGUACGGUAAUUCCAAACACAGUCAGGAAAGGAAGUGGCUCAGUGGUUUUCUUAAAAGUCAGUGACACCUAUCAAAUGGCAUUAGAAAUAUUUAGUAAGGACUAUUCACAAUUGCUUCAAAUUGACAGGAUAGUGCCUGCCUCAAAUGAGAUUGCACAUUACUGGAUGAUUUUUUAAACAUUCAUCUGCAGUCAUGCGGUCAGCAAGAUAGUUUCAACUGCCCAGAAAAAAACAGAUGUUAAGUGGUGAUUGUGCUUUGAAAUAGAAAUGAAGUCAAGGAUCUCCUAUUGCUUUUGAGCAAGUCAAGCUGUCUAAAAAGCAAAACAAUUUAAAUGAAAAACAUUCUUUUUAUGCUGUGGGUUUUUUCCUCAUAACUUACACUGUUUUCUGUGCAUGCAGUGCUAUCUAUCUUAUGUAAUUAGGAGAAAAUCUUAAAAGCAAACAUUGUACACAGAAUUGCUAAUAAGAUCACUUGUAUGAUGUUGGGCUCCAACCAUUUUGUUAUAUUAUAUUGGAAGUAAACUAUUGAUUAUAAAAAUAACUAUAGUCAGGCACAAUGGUGUAAACCUGUAGGCCCAGCUUCUUGGGAGGCCAAAGCAGGAAGAUCCCUUGAGCCCAGGAGUUCAAGCCCAGUUUAGGCAACAUAGCAAGACUCUGUUCCCCCGAAAAAAAAAAACCUGUUUUUAGUUUUAAUGUUGCUUCUGAUCAAUGUUGAUUAUAAAAAGAAAACUGUGUACUGUUAGGCAAGCAUAAAGUUAUCACCUGUUCAAUUUAUUCAUUAAACAACCAUAGAUGUGCCAUUAUACAUGAAACAUUUCUGGCUCCAUAUUUUAAAAACAGUCUUUUUAAAAUUUAUAAAAAGACAGUGAGAACACAUGGACACAAGGAGGGGAACAACACACACUGGGGCCUGUCGUGGGAUUGGGGGGCGAGCCAAGGGAGAGCAUCAGGACAAAUAGCUAAUGCAUGCAGGGCUUAAAACCUAGAUGAUGGGUUGAUAGGUGUAGCAAACAUGUAAACCUAUGUAACAAACCUACAUGUUCUGCACAUGUAUCCUGGAACUUAAAGUAAAAAAAAAUAUUAAUUAAAAGAAAAUGUUGGAUUUUUGAAAUAGUACUGCCCUUUUAAAUUUCAUCAAUAAUGCCUAUGUGCUAAAUUGAGACAUGCUCAGUCGCACUAGGAAGCAUUUUGCUGUGAAAGCAUUUAUUUUUUUCCCAUUGUGCUGCAUUCUUUUAAUAACUCUUAGGGUAUAAGACUCCAAAAAGCAGGUUGCUCUUGUAACCUGUCCCCUUCAGUAUUUCAAUCUAACAGCUUCAAGUGUCUUCAUUCACUCUCUCUAUGUAUAGAAAUCACCAUCAGGCUUUCCUAAAUGAGAGCAGAAGUUUCACUCAGCAUUCUUUUCCUAGAUGGGGGUUAUGAUGACAUUUCCUUAUUGUUUAAGGGCAGCCCAAACUCAUGAUUAAUUUGAAAACUAAUUACCAAGAAUGUAGGACUAAUGUCUUGCUCUAGCACUGACUAUCCAAGAGAGUUUGGCCAAUUCCUGUAUAUAUGUGCAUGUAUGUUUGUAUGUAUGUAUGCAUACAUCUUAUAUGUGUGUAUUUGUAUCCUUACAAGAGAAAUAUAGGUUUACCAAACAUACUGAUUUUAAAGGACUAGUUAAUUUUUAAGUAUUAAUUAAUAUAUUCGCCACAAAUAUACACUCUCUGAGAUGUAAUUUAGUCCAAUAUUGUUUGGACUAAAUUAAAUAGCACUGACAGCCAAAAUCUUGCUUACCAAGUCUGAGGCUGUUGCUCAGAUGUUUCAAACAAUAUUGCAUAUUUUAAAAAAUGAAUUAGGACACUUCCUUAGAGAAUGUAUUAAUAAGACUUUCUAAAAUUUGAAAACCCAAAACUUAAAAUAAUCAGCUGAGCUUUUCCAAAUUCCAGGAUGUUUUUUGGCAUUAUGCAGCUAAAAUGCCUACCUAGAUGUUUUUGUAGAGAACCCGUCAUCCUAUUGUUUGAAGUCAGGUAGGUAUGGUCUAUGUCAACUAUGAAAAUAAGCACUGGAGGGGCCAGAACUUUGUCCAAAGCUCAUAAGUGAUCAUUGUGUGCUCAAAGGAAUCAGGCGAUGUGCUUAACGGAAAUCAGAUGCCAUGCCUUAGAGACAUGAAUUAGACUCUCUUCAUCUCCAAAACAUGGGAGUUUAUGUUUGGAGAAAGCACAAACUACUGUUACCCAAAAUAGUAGUGUUUUCUUGAAUUAGAUUCCAUUAAAAGGCAAAUAUAUGAUGACAUGUAUUACCUUUUUCUAGCACAGCCUUCCCCUCUUUCUGUCUCUCCAUCAUCAGAUUUCACUAUUUUUGCUUCGUUCAGUCUUCCAGAUUUGGACAACUAAACAUGGUCUGUUUCUUCAAGGCCCAACUCUAGACCCUUUCAAAGAACGUUAAGUGGAUUAUCUUAUCCAUAUUAUUAUAUUACCUCUUCAGUUAAGGUGGCUGUAGUUUUACUGAUGAUCCUUUCUAUGUCAGCUUCCAGGGAGGUUAAGUUGUAGAACUCAAAAAAUACAAAAUUUAUAGUCAAAAUAUUUGGGUAGAUUUCUGAUUUUUCUACCUCACCCUAGGAUUCAACCUUUUAUUUAGUGUUCUCAUCUAUAAAGCAGAAACACUUAUAAUUCCCACAAAAAUAGUGGAUGCAUUUUUGAGUUAUCUGCUUAACUUAUUACAUCUCCCUUGUUCUGGAGUUGCCCCCUCGCCCACAGGUGAGCCAUGGCAGCCAUUUUUGUGGUAGAUGGCUCCGCCCUGCUGGCCAAAGACAAUAGAACUAGGAAAAGAUAACUUUUCAAAUUGGGGUGAUCAGAGCUACAUUCUCCUGGUAAUUUGGAAUUGAAACUGAGUAACGAUAAUUCAGCUGGGCUGGUCACUUGAUGACAGGAGAAGUAAAUUAGGAAGGUUUGAUGGCAAAUUUGGGUACAAUGAAUCAGGUGCACAUAGAAAAGUAGAACAAAAAACAAAAAUACUGACCUUGGUACUUCCUGGCCUUCCAGGUCCCUGUUCCAGCCUUUUUGGAGGCCAGUUGCCUUUGGGUUUCAUGAGAUGCUGAUGUUGAUGAUAAUGAAAUGUCCUCUUUUUCUUAAAGUUUGACAUAGGUUUCUGUUAUUUGCAACUAAAAUGCUUGACUAAAGCGUCAUAGAUGUGCUGUGAGGAUCAAUUCGUGUAAUAUUCGAGAUACUUUGAAAAUAAUAUAGAACUAUGUAAAUAUUACCUAUGGUUAUUAUUAGAAAAUGUCCUAAUCUAAGUGGGUAAAUGUUCAAUAGGACACUGCAGUAGGUACUCGAGGGCUGAUCAGAUCCUUAGAAGCUCUUUAGUGUGUCAUGGAGAUAAGUGUUACUCUAUUACCUUAGGUCAUUGUUGUUGUUAAUCUAGUAAUAAAGUGAGGAAUGAAAUUAAAUUUAGCCUAGAGGUGGAGGAAAGUAGCUGUGGAAAAGUGGGGAAUGGCCUAAUUUAAUAUUUUUAAGACAAAUAAUUUGUGUCAUCUAAAUAUUUUUGAAAGUGAUUUACAGAAACCCAAAUCAUAAUAACCUAAGAAAAUUAGUAGAGAUCCUAAAUAUUCAUAUAUAAAAGUGAAUCAAUUCACAGAACUGAAAUUAGUGGUGCAGAAGUAGAAGCAUAACAGUAAUUGUUAACACAUUCUUUUCAUUAUGUUGUUUAUCUGUGACAUAUAAAUAUGUUUUGAGUCAAUGGUUUCCAACCUCGGGGCACGGAUGCCUGGCCUAAAGUCAUGGGAGGACAGAAUAGAUUUUUUAAAAAAGGAUGCUUAAAUUUGUGUAUACAGGACACAUUAUCUAUGGAUGCAAUAAAUAUUUUAUAUAAAAAUAACAAAUUUAUAAAUUAUUUGUAUGUGUUACAUAAUUUAAUUCUUACGACCAGCCUAUAUAUUAUCCUCUUGUUAUAAGUAAGGUAUUUUGGACCUAGAGUGAAUUAAUAACUUGUUCAAUGUCAGACAGGUAGUUAGUGACAGAACAGAUUUUUCGCUCAGUCAACAUGACUCCUAAGCUCUUAACCACCAUAUUACAUUGCUUCCAGCAUAGAUAUUAUUAGGUUAGACCACAUGAUAUGGUCAUUUUUGUAGGUCAAGAACACUCAAAUAUUAACAAUUUCAUGAUUCUAUCUCAUUGUGUUUUGACUAUUACCUUAUUUUAAAACAUAAUUGAAUUUAAUGUAUUUUAGCAACAUGUACUUUCUCACAAUGCAGAAAUUUAAAAUACAGCUACUGUCUUAUUGAUGGCAUUUUAGUCUGGGUUUCCUAAAAAUUAGAGCUAGCAACAAAGAUGAAGUGU